rnacentral:rRNA from 1 species
CGUACACUCCUGCGGGAGGCAGCAGUGGGGAAUUUUCCGCAAUGGGGGAAACCCUGACGUAGCGACACCGCGUGAGCGAAGAAGCCCUUUGGGGUGUAAAGCUCUGUCAGCUGGAACGAAAACAAUGACGGUACCAGCAGAGGAAGCAUCGGCUAACUACGUGCCAGCAGCCGCGGUAAGACGUAGGAUGCGAGCGUUGUCCGGAUUUAUUGGGCGUAAAGAGUUCGUAGGUGGUUUGUUAAGUUUGGUGUUAAAGAUCGGGGCUCAACCCUGGGACUGCACUGAAUACUGGCAGACUCGAGUGUGGUAGAGGCUAGUGGAAUUCCCAGUGUAGCGGUGAAAUGCGUAGAUAUUGGGAAGAACACCGGUGGCGUAGGCGACUAGCUGGGCCAUAACUGACGCUGAGGAACGAAAGCCAGGGGAGCGAAUGGGAUUAGAAACCCCUGUAGUCCC